rnacentral:lncRNA from 1 species
AUCUAUAAAGAACAGCAGGGCUGAAGAGGGACCUUCAGAGAAAUCCUUUAAAUGAUAGGGCAGGAAGAUAAAUCUCAUCCCUGUUAGUCCACCUUGGCCAGGAGUAGCAGUCUCAGCCACAUUGAUUCGGUUCCUGAUACUACCUCUCCGCUGAUAGAAUGAGAAGAAACAGAAUUAGAACCAAAUAAUUUUACUAAUAAUUUAAUACCUGUAUUUUGGGUUAAUUGGAACAUAGUACAUUAAAAGCAUGA